rnacentral:tRNA from 1 species
GGCUCUAUAGUCAAGCGGUCUAAGACGACAGACUCUCAAUCUGUAGACAGAGGUUCGAUUCCUCUUAGAGUCA